AGGCUUGAUGAGCAGAAGAAACUUAUUUCAAAAACAUUAAAAAUAGUAAUGUUUCCAAACUUUUGGUCUGUACUGUAUAUAAGCAACACGAUACAAUGUCAUGCAUACUGACUUCUAAUUUCAAUGCUUUUCGAAUAAUAAUAAUAAUAAUAUUUUUUUAUAUUAAUAUAGAUUAAUAUUAACUAUUCCAAUGUUUAUAUUUCAGUACACUGUAAAAAAUUUCUGUAAAUUUACAGCAUAUUAACAGCGUAAAUAUACAGUACUGAACUGUUUUCUAAAAUUACGGUGUCUUACCGUAAAUGCACACGUGAUCGGUGGGAGAGGGGGAACCAAAGGCUAGCUGACGCAUGGAGGAGCAUGGUUUCAGUCAAAGUUUUAUGGAUUUCAUCUCAAGUUGAGGCUCAUUUACAGGUAAGCAGAUCAAAGUCUGAAUACAUUUUUAUCUUAAACUGCAGCGUUUUUUUUAAUGUGGGCACAAUAUUUGAAUUUACCUUUGACAAAUCUUGCCAAGACGGUGAACUAGCAUGUAUGCAAUUUUUACAAAUUUCUCCUGAAAGUUAAGUGUUUAUGAGUGUGUUUGUGAAGGAUUUGCAUCGGGUUUUUUUUCCUGGUGUAAAAUCCUGUAAAUGUUAAACUUGUAAAUAGUUAAAUAUAAAAUACUUGCGUUCGCUGAUUAUUUAAUUGGAUAUGAAUUGAACAUAUUUGGCCACAAGAUGAGCACGUGAUCGGUGGGGGAGGGGAGCAACGGUUAGCGUCUGAUACCAGAGAAAAGUCUCUGUGAAUAAAACGGAUAUUAUCUCAAAUAUAAUCUCGAUUACAGAUUGCAGAUAACGAGGAUAUGAAGUAAGUGUGUUUUCCUGAUUUUCUGAAACACUUAUUUGCACAAUUAUAUUUACAUUUUGCAUUGGCGCCAACCCAGUGUAGUUUAAAAUGGAGGAUUUGUUUUAUUUGCAUUAAUGUUGCUAAGUUAGGUGCGUAUAAAGUUGGUAACUUAUAUAUUAUCCUUAUAUAUUGGGAAAUCGAAAAUAGGCCUGUAAACUUAAUUUUACUUAGGAAGCAUAAACUCAUCGCCUUUUGCAUGAGCACUUGACUUGAUAGAUGGAAAGAGUAGCGUUAACGUUAUGGUGAGAAACGUUUGUUUUUUUCGGAGUGACACAUUAGUCUUUCAAUAUAAGUCGUAUCUAAAACUAGUUAGAGUGUAAUCUAAAUAUAUUCGAACUUAUUAUUAAUAAAGUGGGCUUUGUAUGUGAGCACAUUUUAAUUUUAAUUUUGCACUGGAUUUAUUGGCACAAAUCUCUAUAUCACAGAGGAAACGUUACUUCAUUCACUUACAUUCUAACUUGUUCCUCAGCCUCAAAUACAGUUUUGUGUGUGUGUGUGAGAGUGUGUGUGUGAGAGAGAGAGAGAGUGUGUGUGUGAGAGAGAGAGUGAGUGAGUGUGUGUGUGUGUGUGUGUGUGAGAGAGAGAGAGAGUUAGAGAGAGAGGAAGAGGAGAGAGCAGUAGACAGAAUAUUUUUAAGUGUUUUUAAUGAAAAGUUGGAGGAUGUCCCAGGAUGAGAACAAAGAUAUGGUACACCUGCUUGUCAAGAUUCUAACGUUAAUGUCCCACUUCCAGGAACAUGAAGGUGGACUGGUUUCACAUGCAGAUGUUGCAGCAUCUGCAUCUGAGGUUGAGAAGACACUCAAUCUACCUGCCAAUCCUCAUCUGAUUUUGCUGGGUUAGUGUGUCAUUGCACAUGAUGAAGAAGAAACAUUUACUGAUGGCUGAGAUAUAAAAUUGUUAACAUUGCUGUUGUGCACAAUUAUUAAAAUUGCUUCUUUUUUUUCUUUUUUUUUUGUGAGUGUCCAGUCAACAUUUUUGACUGCAGUUGCAAGUGUUUGCUGUGCACUACAUCUUCAACCUGCAGUAUCAAGAGGCGGCUUGUUGCACGUUAGAGUUUUUUUCAAAGAUGAUUCUAUGGAAUAAACCCAGAAAGAUGCUCAAAGACCUGCCGAGGCAAGGUAGUCUCCAAGAAGACGGGGAAGGUGGUGAAUAAGAAGUCCACUACAGUCAAUCCAAAGGUUGCCACUCUACAAAAAAAUUGAAUGGACUUCAAAUGGGACUUCAUC